rnacentral:rRNA from 2 species
UUAUCGUUUAUUUGAUAGUACCUUACUACUUGGAUAACCGUGGUAAUUCUAGAGCUAAUACAUGCUGAAAACCCUGACUUCGGAAAGGGUGUAUUUAUUAGAUAAAAAACCAAUGCCCUUUGGGCUCUUUGGUGAUUCAUGAUAACUUAACGGAUCGCAUGGCCUUGCGCCGGCGACGGUUCAUUCAAAUUUCUGCCCUAUCAACUUUCGAUGGUAAGGUAUUGGCUUACCAUGGUUUCAACGGGUAACGGGGAAUUAGGGUUCGAUUCCGGAGAGGGAGCCUGAGAAACGGCUACCACAUCCAAGGAAGGCAGCAGGCGCGCAAAUUACCCAAUCCCGACACGGGGAGGUAGUGACAAUAAAUACUGAUACAGGGCUCUUUUGGGUCUUGUAAUCGGAAUGAGUACAAUUUAAACCUCUUAACGAGGAACAAUUGGAGGGCAAGUCUGGUGCCAGCAGCCGCGGUAAUUCCAGCUCCAAUAGCGUAUAUUAAAGUUGUUGCAGUUAAAAAGCUCGUAGUUGAAUCUUGGGCCUGGCUGGCCGGUCCGCCUCACCGCGUGUACUGGUCUGGCCGGGCCUUUCCUUCUGGAGAACCUCAUGCCCUUCAGUGGGUGUGUUGGGGAACCAGGACUUUUACUUUGAAAAAAUUAGAGUGUUCAAAGCAGGCCUUUGCUCGAAUACGUUAGCAUGGAAUAAUAGAAUAGGACGUGCGGUCCUAUUUUGUUGGUUUCUAGGACCGCCGUAAUGAUUAAUAGGGAUAGUCGGGGGCAUCAGUAUUCAAUUGUCAGAGGUGAAAUUCUUGGAUUUAUUGAAGACUAACUACUGCGAAAGCAUUUGCCAAGGAUGUUUUCAUUAAUCAGUGAACGAAAGUUAGGGGAUCGAAGACGAUCAGAUACCGUCGUAGUCUUAACCGUAAACUAUGCCGACUAGGGAUCGGGCGAUGUUUCUAUCUUGACUCGCU